UGGGGAAUAUUGCACAAUGGGCGCAAGCCUGAUGCAGCCAUGUCGCGUGUGUGAAGAAGGCCUUCGGGUUGUAAAGCACUUUCAGCGGGGAGGAAGGCGGUGAGGUUAAUAACCUCACCGAUUGACGUUACCCGCAGAAGAAGCACCGGCUAACUCCGUGCCAGCAGCCGCGGUAAUACGGAGGGUGCAAGCGUUAAUCGGAAUUACUGGGCGUAAAGCGCACGCAGGCGGUCUGUCAAGUCGGAUGUGAAAUCCCCGGGCUCAACCUGGGAACUGCAUUCGAAACUGGCAGGCUAGAGUCUUGUAGAGGGGGGUAGAAUUCCAGGUGUAGCGGUGAAAUGCGUAGAGAUCUGGAGGAAUACCGGUGGCGAAGGCGGCCCCCUGGACAAAGACUGACGCUCAGGUGCGAAAGCGUGGGGAGCAAACAGG
rnacentral:rRNA from 1 species